AACGAACGCUGGCGGCGUGCCUAACACAUGCAAGUCGAACGAGUAAGGGGCUUCGGCUCCGAGUAAAGUGGCGCACGGGUGAGUAACACGUGGGUAACCUGCCUCUAAGAUUGGGAUAACUCGUCGAAAGAUGAGCUAAUACCGAAUAAGACCACAGUUCCCGCGGGAACAGGGGUCAAAGGUAGCCUCUGCUUGCAAGCUAUCACUUAGAGAUGGGCCUGCGCACCAUUAGCUAGUUGGUAGGGUAACGGCCUACCAAGGCAAAGAUGGUUAGCUGGUCUGAGAGGAUGAUCAGCCACACUGGAACUGAGACACGGUCCAGACUCCUACGGGAGGCAGCAGUGGGGAAUAUUGCGCAAUGGGCGAAAGCUUGACGCAGCAACGCCGCGUGAGUGAUGAAGGCCUUCGGGUCGUAAAGCUCUGUCGGGAGGAACGAAUGCUCCUGAGGUUAACAGCCUCGGGAGGUGACGGUACCUUCAAAGGAAGCACCGGCUAACUCUGUG
rnacentral:rRNA from 1 species